GUAAGGGACGACAUCAAAAGAUCGAUGUAGGAUAAAAAACUUAAAUCAAAUAGUUUGGGGGUGGGGGUGGGGGGGGGGUUAAAAUUCUGCAAGUUUUGUAUAUCUAAAAUCGAUUUUUACAUAUAUCCCUAUUGGUAAAUCAAUUUUUCCCAAAUUAAGUUAAGAGGGGGUGGGGAUGUCAGUGAAAAAACUAUGUGAAUUAAGUUUUUUUAUCCUACAUUGAACUUUUGAUGUCGUCCCUAAUGGUCUGUUU
rnacentral:lncRNA from 1 species